UUGCGGGGGCAGAGUACAGGUGGUGGCAUGGUGUGUCGUCAGCUCGUGUCGGUGAGAUGUGUGGGUUAAGUUCCCGCAACGAGUCGCAACCCUUGAUGCUUAGUUGCCAGCAUUCAGUUGGGGCACUCUAAGGGGACUGCCGGUGACAAACCGGAGGAAGGUGGGGAGUGACGUCGAAAUCAUCAUGCCCCUUAUGACCUGGGCUACACAGCGUGCUACAAUGGACAGAACAAAGGGCAGCGAAACCGCGAGGUUUAAGCCAAUCCCACAAAUCUGUUCUCAGUUCGGAUCGCAGUCUGCAACUCGACUGUCGUGAAGCUGGAAUCGUCUAGUAAUCGCGGAUCAGUCAUGCCGUCGGUGAAUACGUUCCCGGGUCCUUGUACACACCGCCC
rnacentral:rRNA from 1 species